UCAAGAUGGAGCUCUAAACAGAAGACAAAACAGUGCCACAAGGAAAUGCUAAGCCCCUUCUCUGUCUUCCAGGUUGUCCGCAGCCAGAGAUGGAUCCUAACUUAAUCUUGCAGAAAACUACAAGUUGCACAGAUGGAAGACUUCCCAAAAAAAAAGCAGAUUCCAAAGCCCAGAUGAUAAAACACGGAAGGGCAGUCUUCCCGCAAGGAUGCAGGGAGACAUCGAAGAAGAAAACGGUGUUAGGUACCAAUGAGCCCUUUACAACGCUGCACAAAAAAGAGAUAAUAGGAAGAAUCAAGAGCACCCAUGCGGGGAUUGGGAACAGAGGACGGCUGAAGGGCGAGGCCAGGACUCCAAAGUUGAGCGACUCCCACCACAGGAACAGAUCUCGACUGCUCGAGUGCAACGAAGCCCAUGAAAGAAGGUGCGUGGGUGGCGUUCUAAAGAGACGCGAGGCCCAGACAACCAAUCAGAAAGGAAUUCCAAGAAGACUGGAAUCUCAAGUAAGGUUUCAAACAAAGCUCGAAAAAGAAAUUUCAGCUGAAGCCCUUUGGUGUGAACCAACACCACCAGUUUGCAGAAAUCCGGAAUCCCUCAUGAGGAAAAAUGUGGAAGGCAUACUGAAGAGACAGGAUUCACUUGAGGAAUAGCCACCGGCCACACAGAACCCCCAAGAAUGGUGUGCUGCUCCACCUCCUUGCCCUCUGCAACCCCAGCCAGAUGCACCUCCUCCUGCUACAAUUUAAGCCCCGCCAGAGGCACCUCCUGCUCCACCACGUGGGCCAUAGGGGCUUCCACUGUGAUCUUCAGGUUCAAGCUGUGUCUCUGCCCUCACCCCGGUGGAACAUGGUUACAAAAUCCAUUUCCUCUAGACAUCUUCGUUUUCUGCUAUUCAGAAGUUUGCCGUUAUUAGACUUCCCUGCCACAAACUACAUCUUCCCAAUUUUUCUCUGUAAGCCAAUACGUAUUAUAGACUCCAAUGAAGAAAGACAGUGUUCUCAGAAAUAAAAUGUCUUUACUAAAUAUCUAAUAACAUCCUUUGGCAGUGUUCUGUCUCUAGCUCACCUAGUUGACCUUAUGACCUUGAUGGCUGCAAAUGCUUUAUGAUCCACCAAAAAAAAAAAAAAAAAAAACCCAUAGGAAAUAAAGUCAGACCUCCUGCAACCAAGCAGUUUAUGACAGAAAGUGUCCAUGUAAGCACAAUCAUUUUAUUAAGAAUCAGUAUUAAAAUGUGUCCAAAAGUAGUUUAAAUGCAC
rnacentral:lncRNA from 1 species